GUUCCCAAGGAUGUUUCCUUGACCAUGCUAAUACUGAUUAGUUGAUGAGUAUUUUUCUCAAGUUGCUGAGGGAACU